rnacentral:rRNA from 1 species
GACGGACGCUGGCGGCGUGCUUAACACAUGCAAGUCGAACGCUGAACCCGCUUCGGUGGGGGAUGAGUGGCGAACGGGUGAGUAGCACGUGGGCAACCUGCCCCCGGCUCUGGGAUAACUCCAAGAAAUUGGGGCUAAUACCGGAUGUGACCGCUGGCCGCAUGGUCUGGUGGUGGAAAGGGUUUCCGGCUGGGGAUGGGCCCGCGGCCUAUCAGCUUGUUGGUGGGGUAGUGGCCUACCAAGGCGACGACGGGUAGCCGGCCUGAGAGGGUGACCGGCCACACUGGGACUGAGACACGGCCCAGACUCCUACGGGAGGCAGCAGUGGGGAAUAUUGCGCAAUGGGCGGAAGCCUGACGCAGCGACGCCGCGUGGGGGAUGACGGCCUUCGGGUUGUAAACCUCUUUCAGCAGGGACGAAGCGCAAGUGACGGUACCUGCAGAAGAAGCACCGGCCAACUACGUG